GCUACACUGAGCAGAAUGAGUGUCCUUUUUAAACAGAAGAAGAAGACAGAAAAACAAGUUAACUGAGAGAUCUGUGUAGUCUCCUGCCUGUCCUGCCAUCCCCUCCAGGUGACCGAUCCUUGCUCAUUUGCUCUCACUUCAGCAGUCCUGGGAGGAGCAAUCAGUUCCUGCAGUUUCUCCAAGCAGUUCACCUGACUUCUAGCGGGUUUCUGGGGAGGACCCGGAUCCAGCCUACCUUGAAUAAGAGCUGUGAGGGAGAUGGCUAUGACUUUUCUGGUUCCACCUAUCGUGGGAAUUCACCCUGGCUCCAUGAAUGUGUGACUAAUUUCCUGGACAGAAUCGUAAGGACUGAAAGGGACCCCUGGAGAUCAUUGUGUCCAACCCCCUGCUAAAGCAGUUCCCUACAGCAGUCCACACGGGAAAGCAUCCAGAUGGGUCUCGAAUGUCUCCAGAGGAGACUCCACAGCCUCUCUGGGCAGCCUGUUCCAGUGCUCUGUCAGCCUCACAGAGUUGCACUCAGUGCUCCUUAUGGGCCCUUUCCAACUCUGGAUAUUCUGUUGCUGUGGAUCAUCUGUUCUCCCACUCUAAAUGGUUUGGUUUAUUACAGAUUCAAAAGCUCUGUAUGGUGCAGCUUUUUGGAGCAUAUGAUUAUAAAGCCGUAUUCUGCAUACAUUCAGGAUAAGAUACACUGCAGCACUGAGAGAUGUGGGCUUUGUUCCAGGAGCGUUUGUUCUCACAGGCUUACAGUGCUGAGUAGCUGCAGCCGGUAGGCAGGUUCUCGCCUUUCCUUGUCAUUCCACAUAGACUCACCACAGCAUUUUUCAUACUCCACAACGAAUUAUCCAUGCAUUAUUAGAUAGCCUUAUUUCCCAACACCUCUGCCUAAUCCCAUGCUGUACUUUUCUUGCGUCCUGCAGUACCUUUUGUAGUGACGCAACCCAGAGAUCUGAUUUUACUCUUUGGGGUAUGAUACAAUUACAGAGGUGGGUUUUUAAAAGCACUGCCUUCAUAUAGCAUUGUGCAAUUGAUAGCAUAUUGCAUUCUUUCUGCUACCUUAUUGUUGAAGUGAUGGAACAGCAUCUUCGUUUUCCACUCUAAUAAGCAGAACAUAUCUUGAAGCUAGAACUGAGUAGAAGAAAUUUAACCCUGGAUUUGUGUCCGAGGAGUACAUAAAUACUGAAAGCAAGGAUUUUCUCAGGACAACAACUGAAGAGAUGAAGAGAAACACAAGUGCUGUUGUAAAUGCCUGCAGACUCAAAUCCUGCCAGAGGCUCCAGGUGCAACAGGAGAAGCCAGCAGAGGGAGGCACGCCCAUUUUUACUGAAAGGAUUGGAAAAGGGUACUGGAGUGAAACUGCAGUUGUCUACAAACAGAAGGAUUCUUCCACUUGCCAGCCACACGUCUCUGUCAAGAAAAAAAGAAGUUGGAGCUGCCAUUAUGAAAUUUUAUUCAAACAAACUUUUGCAAAGGAGAAGAGUGGAAGACCAAAGACGGUGUCUUGAAAGAAAAUAGUCUUUAUUUCGAGGAUUGGAAGAAGAGAAAAAGUUAAGGCUAAGAAGAGAGUUGCUCAGAGGAGUUUGGCCAUAUUAAGAGCAGAGCUGGAAGUUAUCCCAACGUGUAGGAAGGACGAGAUGACAGCGAGAAACCAGCUCACCCAAUGAGAUGUUCAGUGACCUCAAACAAGAAACUGGUUUUGCAGGGCUGCUCUGUAAAUCAGAUCAACAAAAUGAUCUGUAUUAAUAAAGAACACAAGACCUGUUUUUG
ensembl:lncRNA